rnacentral:misc_RNA from 1 species
AUUCCCUAACAUUAUACUUUUAACUUCUGAAACUUGAGCCUUCACUUUUAAUAGUUUCUCUAUUUCUUCAGCAUGGUCGAUAAUAUAUUUCAUGUGCUCUUUCAUAAUUGGCCCAAACUCCUUAUUGAGACUCUUGGCAAUGGCCGUGUCUGCUUUACCACCACCAUAUCUUUUCUUGAAGUCUGCUUUCAUGCGUUCCAAAAAAGCAAUAGAGAUCUGUUUGCUAACAGAUUCUUUUG